AGGGAUUUGUCAUCGGGCGAACCCUCGACCCCGCCACGCCGCGUGGUGUGAAGGCUUCGGGUGAAAGUCUUUCGCCGGGACGAAAAUGCCGACCGGGAGAACAAGCUCCGGCUAGCUCCAUGCCAGCAGCCCCGGUAAUAAUACUUGCCCGCCGUCAUAAUAUAAAA
rnacentral:rRNA from 1 species